rnacentral:rRNA from 1 species
UGUGGCGACUAUACUGGCGUUGUCCCACCCGAUCCCAUUUCGAACUCGGAAGUGAAAUACGCCAAGGCCGAUGGUAGUCCGAAAGGGCGAGAGUAGGUAGUUGCCACAA